GACGAACGCUGGCGGCGUGCUUAACACAUGCAAGUCGAACGGAGUGGCGAACGGGUGAGUAACACGUGGGUGAUCUGCCUUGCACUUCGGGAUACGCCUGGGAAACUGGGUCUAAUACCGGAUAGUGCCGGAUGAGCUCGCGGCCUAUUAGCUUGUUGGUGGGGUAAUGGCCUGCCAAGGCGUCGACGGGUAGCCGGGCUGAGAGGGUGUACGGCCGCAUUGGGACUGAGAUACGGCCCAGACUCCUACGGGAGGCAGCAGUGGGGAAUAUUGCACAAUGGGCGGAAGCCUGAUGCAGAGGCGCCGAGUGGGGGAUGAAGGCCUUCGUGUUGUAAACGCCUUUCGACAGGGACGCGGUACCUGUAUAAGAAGCACCGGCUAACUACGUGCCAGCAGCCGCGGGUAUAC
rnacentral:rRNA from 1 species